UACGGAGGGUGCAAGCGUUAUCCGGAUUUACUGGGUUUAAAGGGUGCGCAGGCGGAUAUGUAAGUCAGUGGUGAAAUCUCGUAGCUUAACCUGGAAAUUCUCCGUUGAUACUAUAUAUCUUGAAUGUUGUGGAGGUAAGCAGAAUAUGUCAUGUAGCGGAUGAAAUGCUUAGAUAUGACAUAGAAUACCUAUUGCGAAGGCAGCUUCUAACGCAGAUAUUGACG
rnacentral:rRNA from 1 species